CGGACCGUAGCGCAGUUUGGUAGCGCACUUGACUGGGGGUCAAGGGGUCGCGGGUUCAAAUCCCGCCGGUCCGACUA
rnacentral:tRNA from 1 species